CCUAUGGUUGAGGUGACUUUGUUACCUGUUGCUCCUUCUGGAGUUACAGAACAUGAUGAAUGGAAGGUAUGAGCUGGUGAUUAACUAGCUCCCACCCUUGAGGAAUUAACACUCCCUCAGGGCCAUUCUGAU